rnacentral:misc_RNA from 1 species
GAAAUGCGAUACUUGGUGUGAAUUGCAGAAUCCCGUGAACCAUCGAGUCUUUGAACGCAAGUUGCGCCCGAAGCCAUUAGGCCGAGGGCACGCCUGCCUGGGUGUCGGGGUCGCUGACCUCCCGCUCGCG